rnacentral:rRNA from 1 species
AGUGAGUGCGGUGUUAGUGUUUGUCUUUGUGUCCUCUCUCUUUUUCUAGUCUACCGUAGUAGGAGAAGGAAGGAAGAGGAACGACAAGAAGAACGCAACCAGAGUACCGUCCGGUGACGGAGGCUAGGAUCGGGGGAGGUCCUGAAAACACAGCGGCUGUACUUAAGUGGUCAUGCACAGUUACCCAAACAAACGUUCUUGGGUUACCUCCAGUUGCGACUACUGAAGAAGUUCCGUCGGCGGGAGCUGUUCGGAUCCCACUGGUUGUUCCAACCUAGGUUGCAGUGAAACUAGUUGCAGUACGUCUAACGACCUGAGUUGUGGGAGCCGUAGAGUUAACGCGCGUAGUUGAUACGAGGGAACCCAGUUUUGGGUGGUGUAUGCGUGGGAGCGCGGUGACUCUAGGAGUGCCACGAGCUCCCCUGUGACAUGCAACCGAAACAGUGUAGGUUGGUCGGGCGGGGUUUGUCUUUGUUCAAGGAGA